rnacentral:lncRNA from 1 species
UUUUCUGAGAUUAGCAAACAACUCUCCUCUCCUCCCUCCUAAACCACCCCCUUCCCGCUCACCACCUCCCACCCCCGCCUGUGCUACGUGCUACUGUGGAGAGGAGGAAGUUUUGAAUAGGCAUCCAAAGUCAACAGGGCGCAGUGAGAAGCACUUAUACUGAGUGACCUGGGAUACAUAGACACUCUUAUGGGUCCUUGACAUCUGUGCUCCAUUGCUCCAAAUGCCAGCAGGAGUCUCAAGGAGAGAAACACGAAACCUCAUGAAACUCUGUGCAGGAAAACACCUGACCAGAAAACAAGGUUAUUGUCAGGUCCAGAGGAAACUCCACUUCCCCAAAUUCCAAAAGGCAAUACCCAGAAAUGACCGUCUUGACUCAGGGUCUGCUGACGUAUAGGAUUACUGAAGGAUACUGCCAGCGUCCCUUAGGAACCCAUGAAAGAGUUUCUGUCCACCAGAAAGAGGGCCAGAGAUGGAUCUCCUGCA